UACGGAGGGUGCAAGCGUUAUCCGGAUUCACUGGGUUUAAAGGGUGCGUAGGCGGACAAGUAAGUCAGUGGUGAAAUCUCCGAGCUUAACUCGGAAACUGCCGUUGAUACUAUUUGUCUUGAAUAUUGUGGAGGUAAGCGGAAUAUGUCAUGUAGCGGUGAAAUGCUUAGAUAUGACAUAGAACACCAAUUGCGAAGGCAGCUUACUACACAACAAUUGACGCUGAGGCACGAAAGCGUGGGGAUCAAACAGG
rnacentral:rRNA from 1 species